UACGUAGGGGGCUAGCGUUGUCCGGAUUUAUUGGGCGUAAAGAGCUCGUAGGCGGUUUGUUGCGUCGGCUGUGAAAUCCCGAGGCUCAACCUCGGGUCUGCAGUCGAUACGAGCAAACUAGAGUGUUGCAGGGGAGACUGGAAUUCCUGGUGUAGCGGUGAAAUGCGCAGAUAUCAGGAGGAACACCGGUGGCGAAGGCGGGUCUCUGGGCAACAACUGACGCUGGAGGAAGCGAAAAGCGUGGGGAGCGAACAGG
rnacentral:rRNA from 1 species